UACGUAGGGGGCAAGCGUUAUCCGGAUUUACUGGGUGUAAAGGGAGCGUAGACGGCAGGGCAAGUCUGGAGUGAAAGCCCGGGGCCCAACCCCGGGACUGCUUUGGAAACUGCCAAGCUAGAGUGUCGGAGAGGUAAGUGGAAUUCCUAGUGUAGCGGUGAAAUGCGUAGAUAUUAGGAGGAACACCAGUGGCGAAGGCGAUUUGCUGGACCGUAACUGACACUGAGGCUCGAAAGCGUGGGGAGCAAACAGG
rnacentral:rRNA from 1 species